rnacentral:misc_RNA from 1 species
GAUGAAGAACGUAGCGUAAUGCGAUACUUGGUGUGAAUUGCAGAAUCCCGUGAACCAUCGAGUCUUUGAACGCAAGUUGCGCCCGAAGCCAUUAGGCCGAGGGCACGCCUGCCUGGGCGUCACACGUCGUUGCCCCCCCAUCUACUCCUUCGGGAUUGCGGGGGGCGGAUGAUGGCCUCUCGUGCGCCUCGUCGCGCGGUUGGCCUAAAUGCCAAGUCCUCGGCGACGCACGCCACGACAAUCGGUGGUUGCGAAACCUCGGUUGCCUGUCGUGUGCGGUCGUCGCGCAUCGAGGGCUCGAAAAAAUUGCCGGGCUUCGGCUCGACUUUCAACGCGACCCCAGGUCAGGCGGGGUUACCCGCUGAAUUUAAGCAUAUCAAUAAGCGGAGGA